UAAAACAGACACCUCUUGCGCAUUUUAGAACUCACCACCAUCAUAUUACGGAAGCCCGCUUAUCAUAUACGCUACCGACGCAUCUUAGAGUACGCCGCCAGAAUGCUGAUCAUUGGUGACGAUGUCCGACCAUCGGUGACGAUGCCCGAUGAAAACCCAAAACCCUGCUUAAGUUUUCCAGAAAGAACUUGUUGGCUUUUUGAAGUCACAUACAUUGGGAGAUGGGGGUCAAUUCGGUGAGGGUAUCACAAGGGUUGUUGAGGAGUUGGUUUUCAACAGCCUCGACGCUGCUGCCACCAAGAGGUGGGCUGCUGAGAAUAUGGCAAGUCGUGCUUAUAUGCAGAUUUAAUCGCUUAGACUAGUUGCACAAAAGGCAGUGAACGGUAUCUGUUGCUAUAGGCAUUGAGACCUGCUAUGUGAAGGUGGAUGACAAUGUAUCUCGUGUUUCAUGAGAUGGGUGCUGAUGGGAGAAAAAUAUGCGACAUCAAAAUACAGCCAUUCAGAUGAUAUGCAUGCUUUCCCAGCAAGCUUUGGUUUCAAAGGAGAGGCAGGCUCUGUUUCUUUAUUGGAAAUUGUUACUAAAACUCACGGCAGGCCAAACGGAUAUCGUAAGGUUUUG